rnacentral:lncRNA from 1 species
AGAAAGCCUGCUUGUAUAGUGUAUACCCCUCCUUGACCAAGAGUCUUUGCCCCACAUAAGAAGCUGGUGCCCAUUGUCUCCUCCUGAGGAAAAGGACCCGGUGAUUGAUGCUCUUCCCCCGCCGGUUUUACCCGGGAGAAAGCGGGCUGAGGUCAGUGCACGAGACCCUGGGCAAGCUGGAGAAGGCCUCCCUGGACGCUGCCAUGGCCAGUGCUGCUCUGAGGAGAUGGCCAAAUUGGAAAAUGCUCUCGGCACGUGUAGGAAGAGGCAUCCUGCAAUGGAUCUGCAAGGACGAGGCCAGUUUAUCCCGUGCUCUUAUGUGCUCCUGCUGGCAUCCCAGCAGUGCGGCAGGCAGCCCAACGGUGAAUGAGGAAGAGAGUCUGGGACUUCCAGCGGGAGACCUGGAAGAACGUUUUAUCUCUGUGUGGUAGUUCAGACGCAUGCAAGGAGGCU